CUAAAUUUACUCUUAAUAAGGUGUUACUGGUGUUAUUUUUCCUAAAUGCAUUACAAAAUAAAAAUUGACUUUGUUUUUGUUUUUGAAUCCCAGAUCCAUGUUGAGGAAGUCACCAAGCAGUCAAUGAAACGCACCCUAACCUCCAAACACACAAGCACUCUUGCAAAAACAGCUUAAGUAAAAUCACUUUGUUUAUCUUUUGAGAUGAUAAUUAAUGAACACAGGUGCAUAUAUAGUCAAAUAGAACGUUUAUCUCUGUAUUUAUAGCUGUAAUAAUUUGUCAGUUUUAGAUCAUUUAGUUUGCUCUUUUCCAGUUUUCAUAAAUGAUACAUUAUUGCUAUUCCUGUGACUGUCUAGAUAGAAUGCCUUAAUGUUUUACUCAAUAAGUAUCACCAGUUUUACUCACACAAACUGAUACCCAAGAUUUGAUGGCUUGAUUUGACUUUAAUAAUCAUACAAUUUACAUGAAGCACAAUAAUUCAAUAUGGCUUUCAGGGGAGAGAAUCUAUUUUCUGAUCUUCUUUCUGUUCUUGUGAUCUCUUUUUCUUUUAUUGACCUGAAUGAAGAUGUAUGGAGUGAGUGUGUGUGUGUCUUCGGUUUCCUCCUGAUGGGGUAUGUCAGCCCCCCCUCUUCUCCCUACUCCCCAUGAUCCCCGCAAGGCUGAAUGGCAGGCCUCUGGAUUGGCUAAGUGAUGAAAUGAUGACCCUAUUAUGGGAAGCGAUUCCAAAAUGAGAGAUAUCAGACGAAGAUUACACCCCUCUCUCACUGCCACGCCAUCCUCCUGCAAUACACUGCCAGCUGCACAGAUGAUGAUUGAUUUGCUUGAGAUGGAUCACAGGAAGCACCCAUUGAUUUUUCUGUGUUUUAUCAAAAAUAUUUAUUUACAGUUGUAUCCAUAGGGUGUAUCCAGGCUCACCCCAUGCCUCCUUUUUCCAAAUGGGGGUUGGUAUAAAAGGGAUAAUUCUCCCUGUUCCAUGACAAGACGAAUGACCUGAAGUAUUAUUUCAGAAAUGAGUCAAUAGGCUCAGUGAGUAAAUGAAUAUUGAUUGGAUCUAAUGAAGCCAGAGUGUGAAUAUGAGCCCUGUUGCAGGCUCCACUGCAGUGAUGGUAAACCUCUCCAACUGAGUAUUUUGCAGACCUGCAAGUGCAGCUGGGACAAAAUACACCUCAUGUUAGUUAGUAGCACAGAUGGUGAAUCAGCACACUCAACAUUUCCCUUUUCCUCUCACUGGUGUUUACCUGUGUAUUUUGAUUAUGAUCUGAGAGUUUCCAUACUUGACUCUUGUCUUGCCUGACUCUUGGCUAAAUAUGGUGAGGGUGCUAUAGGCGCCAUAUGGCAAUAUCUAAGACUCUUGCUACUUAAAAGCUCUUGAGACAUGUAGGAGGCAUUUCUGUAUCACCUGUACAAAGGUAAACUGAUACAACAUACAAAUCAAAUGACAACUAGAAUGCUAAAACCACAGUGUGGGAGCUGUGCCCUAGAUAUUUGCACUGACUUAAUCCAAUUGAAAUAGUAUGAGUGAGUUGCAGGGGCUCCCAGGUCUGUUGCUUGCUUAUGUAUGUGAUGCAUAAUAGAAGUUGACGAGGUUGGUGAUAGAUCACAGCCCAGGUAAUGUAAACACAUUAAUCCCUCAGGGUUCAUGUGCAUGUUCUUUCUCUCCUUUUCUCUUAUAUCAGUCCCUCUCUCUAUCUGUCUCUCUCUUUCUCUCUCUUCAAGCCCCCAUCCUUCCCCCUCCACGUUCAUCAUCUUCCCUAAACGCGUUAGUGGAGCACAAACCAGAAGCAGCCUUAAUCUGUCAACAUGCCCUUUAAUUGGAGGGAAAAAAAAACAACACGUGCUUCUGGUUAUGCCAUUCCUAAGUGCACAUGCCAAAGAAACACAGAGUUCAUGGAAGAAGUGAUCCCAGGAGAGCAGGGCAUAAUUAAAAGUAUCUUUUAAUAGGCUUGUAAUGCUGAGCCUGACUCUUGUUGCCUUAAGUAGAGGGCGAACUCUGUGGCUGGAGACGGACAUGCAAGGGGCUUCUGCUGAGGGAGCCUGUAAACGAUACAUUGCCUCGUCAUCAUCAGACAUGCAGUGUCCGCCUCAGUCACCAAACCCAAGACGACAGCCACUUUCCACCCCUGCCGCGGACACCUUCGCUUACCCGUUCCUGUGUUCUUUUGUUCUCAGAAUGAGAGAUUCUCCUCCGCAACAUCACCUCUCCUCAUCUGCUUCCCAGCCACUUUGGCAAGUUGUGUUCUACCUCCUACUCACAGCACCAGCGGGGAGUGAGAACUGGGACUUAGGGGUUGAUUUGGGGCCUGCUGCACUGUAAUCAAAUGAGACUGCUUAGGGGAGAGGAGAAGGAGGAGGUGGAGUAUUAUGUUCUGUCGUGCAUUCCACUGCAGCAUUGUUGCUUUUUUGUUUUUGUCAGGGCAGGCUUUGAUGCUGUAUCCUCUUACCUUUGUAGUCCCGGUAGCCAUGUUUCAUAAACACGGAAUGGGAAGCAUCCUCAGCAUUAGAAAUUUAGAUUGCUGCUUUCCUCCUGCCACUCUGCAUUCCGCACGUGCCCGGUCGCAUUCUCCAUCUCCCAUUGCUGAGUAACCAUUUUGUCCAACAUCUGACACACUGCCCUGGGUUAUUGAGCCAGACGUGGAAAUCCAAAGCGGAGAUGCUCUCCUUAAUGCCUGACACCUGGUGCAGAUUUGGAAGGGAUUGCACUACAGGCUGUGUCCAGCUCUGUCACUGGUCCUUAGUGCUCCAGCAGCCUGGUCAAAAAGACAUCCUGGCAGGGUCCCAGGGUGGAUGCAUCGCCCACGCACACUGCUCUCGCCAGCUCCCAGAAGUCUUUGUGGUGAACCACUGACCAUGCUGCUCCCUAUUUUCUUCCAGCCCAGCAAAUAAUGUGUCAGAAAAAGAUUAUUGAUAGCCCAUAAAAGAAGAGCCAGAAUGUUGUUGCUGCUCUGCUCCAACUUUAAAGAACAAUGCAAGUGCUAAACCAUCAGUUUCAAUGGUGCACUGCUCCUGAAAGAGCACAGCAUUUAUUUUUCACAUUGUUGUUCAGUUUGGAUAAAAGGUGCUACAACUGGAACAUGAACAGACAACAAUAACUUCUAUUUUUUAAAAUGCUGCUUCAUUUUCCCUUACAUGCAAACCUUGUAGUGAGGUUGGCAACUUUGUACUGUGUCUAUUCAAAAGAAAAAUUAGAUCCCUCAAAAGGAACAUUUACAUUUUCUCCCCGCUCUGUUGAGUCAUUCACUUUUUUUUUUUUGCCAAGUUUACCAGACAUUGGCGAAGCUGUUGCUCAUCUGGCCUAAAUGUGGCCUGAGUGGGUGAUUCUCAGACAGAUGAGGGAAGCUAUAUUUACAGAAUUAACGAUGCACUCCAUCGGCCACACAACAGCUGCCUGCUACACUUAGCUAAUUGAGACUGCAGGCCCAUUCCCAUUUGCAGAGCACUGUGAUUGAACAGUUGGGCAGCUUUAUGUGUGUUUUUGCUCUCCUCGUUCUAGAAAUCAACACCGACGCUCCCAUGCAAAAACAAACACUCGUUCAAGCUGACUGUGUGUUGUGGCACCGCUUGUGAAAAGUCUGCCCUUUUUCGUUGUUCUGUGUUUCACUUUUAAUGUUGUUCAUCUAUCUUAUCAACAUGUUUGUUUUCGCCGAGGCAGUGCAUGAUGUGUCGGAGAGAUGCAGCAAGGUUCAUCUCAGCAGUAAUGUUGUUAAAUGAGAGAAGGAGCGGGUGUUUCAAGCCUGUGUGUGUAUAUACAACACUGUUUUGCUGUAAAAUCUGUGUUUAUGUUCACUGCAGGCAUAAUUCACAGUGUGUGUUAAAGGGCUCCAGGCCAUGCAGGCACACAACUGGCAGC